CUUAGCUCAGUUGGUUAGAGCACAUGACUGUUAAUCAUGGGGUCCUAGGUUCAAGUCCUAG
rnacentral:tRNA from 1 species